rnacentral:rRNA from 1 species
CCGUUGCCGGCGACCGGCGCACGGGUGAGUAACACGUAUGCAACCUGCCCGUGGCAGGGGGAUAAGCGGGGGAAACCCCGUCUAAUACCGCGUAACGCGGCCUUGGGGCAUCCCAAGGCCGCCAAAGGGAGCAAUCCCGGCCACGGAUGGGCAUGCGGCGCAUUAGCUAGUCGGCGGGGUAACGGCCCACUGAGGCGACGAUGCGUAGGGGUUCUGAGAGGAAGGCCCCCCACACUGGUACUGAGACACGGACCAGACUCCUACGGGAGGCAGCAG